rnacentral:rRNA from 1 species
CCUACGGGAGGCAGCAGUGAGGAAUAUUGGUCAAUGGGCGCGAGCCUGAACCAGCCAAGUAGCGUGAAGGAUGACUGCCCUACGGGUUGUAAACUUCUUUUAUAAAGGAAUAAAGUGAGGCACGUGUGCCUUUUUGAAUGUACUUUAUGAAUAAGGAUCGGCGAACUCCGUGCCAGCAGCCGCGGUAAUACGGAGGAUCCGAGCGUUAUCCGGUGUUAUUGGGUUUAAAGGGAGCGUAGAUGGGUUGUUAAGUCAGUUGUGAAAGUUUGCGACUCAACCGUAAAAUUGCAAUUGAUACUGGCAGCAUUGAGUACAGUUGAGGUAGGCGGAAUGCGUGGUGUAGCGGUGAAAUGCUUAGAUAUCACGAAGAACUCCGAUUGCGAAGGCAGCUUACUAAACUGCCACUGACAUUGAUGCUCGAAAGUGUGGGUAUCAAACAGGAUUAGAUACCCGGGUAGUC